UGACGUAAGGGAAGACGCGUUAGUCGGAGGGAAGGUUCUAGAAAAGCGGCGGCAGCGGCUUUAGCGGCAGUAGCAGCAUUGCUGGGGCCGGUGUGGAGCUGUUCCUAGCGGCGUUGUUUCCUGAGCAGCGGCAGUUCUCACUACAGCGCCAGGACGAGUCCGGUUCGUGUUCGUCCGCGGAGAUCUCUCUCAUCUCGCUCGGCUGCGGGAAAUCGGGCUGAAGCGACUGAGUCCGCGAUGGAGAAAACUUUAGAAACUGUUCCUUUGGAGAGGAAAAAGAGAGAAAAGGAACAGUUCCGUAAACUCUUCAUUGGUGGCCUAAGUUUUGAAACCACAGAAGAAAGUUUGAGGAACUACUAUGAGCAAUGGGGAAAACUUACAGACUGUGUGGUGAUGAGAGAUCCUGCAAGUAAACGAUCAAGAGGAUUUGGUUUUGUAACUUUUUCUUCAAUGGCUGAGGUCGAUGCUGCAAUGGCUGCAAGACCUCAUUCAAUUGAUGGGAGAGUGGUUGAGCCAAAACGCGCUGUAGCAAGAGAGGAAUCUGGAAAACCGGGUGCUCAUGUAACUGUGAAGAAGUUGUUUGUUGGUGGAAUUAAAGAAGAUACUGAGGAACAUCACCUUAGAGAUUACUUCGAGGAAUAUGGAAAAAUUGAUACCAUUGAGAUAAUUACUGAUAGGCAGUCUGGAAAGAAAAGAGGCUUUGGCUUUGUUACUUUUGAUGACCACGAUCCUGUUGAUAAAAUUGUAUUGCAGAAGUACCAUACCAUCAAUGGUCAUAAUGCUGAAGUGAGAAAAGCUUUGUCUCGACAAGAAAUGCAGGAAGUCCAAAGUUCUAGGAGUGGAAGAGGAGGGAACUUUGGAUUUGGAGAUUCACGUGGUGGCGGUGGAAAUUUUGGACCAGGACCAGGAAGUAACUUUAGAGGAGGAUCUGAUGGAUAUGGAAGUGGCCGUGGAUUUGGAGAUGGUUAUAAUGGGUAUGGAGGAGGACCUGGAGGUGGCAAUUUUGGAGGUAGCCCUGGUUAUGGAGGAGGAAGAGGAGGAUAUGGUGGUGGAGGACCUGGAUAUGGCAACCAGGGUGGGGGCUACGGAGGUGGUUAUGACAACUAUGGAGGAGGAAAUUAUGGAAGUGGAAAUUACAAUGAUUUUGGAAAUUAUAACCAGCAACCUUCUAACUAUGGUCCAAUGAAGAGUGGAAACUUUGGUGGUAGCAGGAACAUGGGGGGACCAUAUGGUGGAGGAAACUAUGGUCCAGGAGGCAGUGGAGGAAGUGGGGGUUAUGGAGGGAGGAGCCGAUAUUAAGCUUCUUCCUAUUUGCCAUGGAUCUUUUAGAUGCUGCUUCUUCAAUGCAAGGAAAGGAAAUAACCCCAGCGAGGUACUCUUCAGGGACACAGGUCUAGUACAAGAGCCAGUCUUAAGAAACUGUGCUGUUUCUACAAAGCUUUAACUACAGUAGUUAUAAGGAUGCCAACGAAAGCUGAGGGUGUAGAGCAAAAUAGUUCUAAGCUUCAGUUAAACUUCUGUAGGUAAGAUCUUAUUUACUUUUCCUUUCUUAAUUUUCCUCCCCAAAAGAUAAACUAAUACUCUUCAAUGGUCUGUUUCAGUAUAGUGGUUCUUAUGUAGUUUUAACAUAGUUAUAAAUUGAGUUUAACAAUUUUUAAACUCAAAAUAAUAAUUUUAUAAACCCUGUUUUCCAAUCUGUCAUUUACUUAAAUUAUUUUGGUUGUUUUUUCCCUUUUUUUCCUUCUUUCCCAUCCCUUCCCCUUCCAUGAAGAUUCAGGUGCUUAACAUAUCAUUUUUUUCCCUGCUGGAAUUUUAGCAAUAUGAACCAUGGACAAGUAUAUUCUGCUGCCACAAAGACUGUAAAGUGCUUCAUUUCAACAGCUGAGGCAAGCCAAGUGAUCAUUAAUAAAGCUUUUCUUGGUUCCUUCAGUGGUGUUGGUAGUAAAAUGGAAGGUGUCUUGCUGCAGGUAACUAAUGAAGAAGUGGUCAACCACAGAAUCUUCAAGAAAUAAGAAAUUCUGUACCAUCUGAAAGUAGUUGUUGUUGGUGCCUUCAUUUAAAAAGCACUCUUUAAGAUUAAAGGGAAAUGUUUUUUUGAUAAAAUACAAACUUCAUUUAGUACAGGUUCUUAACUAUAAAACAAUUAGAAAUUGAGUAUUGUCUGUAAAACAGUGACAUUCUAAAGUCAGCUAGAGAGAUAAAUGUAUCGUGUUUUAAAUUAGGUUUUGUGAGUGGACAGAUUAAAAUUCUAUUUUAAAUAUAAAGUUUAUAAAAUAAAUACUUUUGUAUCCAAAUACUUGGUGUACUGUUUACACAUAAAAUGUGUGAAUUUUGUUUUUAUAAACAUUAAGCUGUCUAAAAGAUUGCCAUACCCUAAAAUUUUGAAUAAUAUCACAAAGGUUUGCGUAUUCAUAUUUGCAGUAUUAGAUAAAUGAGAAAAACUAUUGUGGGCGUUGGGUUUUUCUAAUAAAAUGCCAUUCCUCGUACACUA